rnacentral:rRNA from 1 species
UACGUAGGGUGCGAGCGUUGUCCGGAAUUACUGGGCGUAAAGAGCUCGUAGGCGGCUUGUUGCGUCGGCUGUGAAAACCUGAGGCUCAACCUCAGGCCUGCAGUCGAUACGAGCAGACUAGAGUGUUGCAGGGGAGACUGGAAUUCCUGGUGUAGCGGUGAAAUGCGCAGAUAUCAGGAGGAACACCGGUGGCGAAGGCGGGUCUCUGGGCAACAACUGACGCUGAGGAGCGAAAGCGUGGGGAGCGAACAGG